rnacentral:rRNA from 1 species
UACGUAGGGGGCAAGCGUUAUCCGGAUUUACUGGGUGUAAAGGGAGCGUAGACGGUAAUGUAAGUCUGAUGUGAAAGCCCGGGGCUCAACCCCGGGACUGCAUUGGAAACUAUGUAACUAGAGUACCGGAGAGGUAAGCGGAAUUCCUAGUGUAGCGGUGAAAUGCGUAGAUAUUAGGAGGAACACCAGUGGCGAAGGCGGCUUACUGGACGGAAACUGACGUUGAGGCUCGAAAGCGUGGGGAGCAAACA